GACGAACGCUGGCGGCGUGCUUAACACAUGCAAGUCGAACGGAAAGGCACUGAUUUUGUGGGGUGCUCGAGUGGCGAACGGGUGCGUAUCACGUGAGUAACCUGCCCUUGUCUUUGGGAUAACAUCAGGAAACUGGGCUUACUAUAGGACAGGAGCCCACGCUGCGUGGUGGGGGUUGGAAAGUUUCGGCGGUUGGGGAUGGACUGGCGGCUUAUCAGCUUGUUGGUGGGGUAGUGGCUUACCCACGCAUUGAAGGGUCGGCGACCUGGGAGGGGGACCGGCCACAAUGGGACUGAGAUACGGCCCAGACGCCAACGGUAGGCAGCGGUGGGGAAUAUUGCACAGUGGGCGGGAGCCUGAUGCGGCAACGCCGCGUGCGGGAUGACAGCCUGCUGGUUGUAAACCGCUUUCGCCUGAUACGAAGCGGUAGUGACGGUAAUGAGUAAAGAAGCACCGGCUAACUACGUG
rnacentral:rRNA from 1 species